ensembl:lncRNA
AUGAAGACCUGCAGGCAGCUAGUAAUGGUGGCGAUUGGGAGGAGGAAGAGGAUUCAAGGCCAUGCAGAUGGGCAACCAUGUGUCCUCAUUUGCUUCAGACAGGUCCAGUUUACUCCUGUCACUGCUAUGUCUGCUCCCAACAGCCAGCGACUUCUGAGUAUCUUCAGCAUUAAUUGGAUCACAGCUGCCCGUGGUCAUUCAGACAGUCAAAAUAACGCCGCACCACGCCAAGAUCUAGUUAACUGAGUCUAGUCUGAAGAACACAUCCCUUGGUUCGAGCCAAAGGUCAGGCAACACCAAAAUGUUCUACCUCGUUUAUAAGCCACAUGACCCAAGAUCCUUACUAAUCUGUACUCAUAUUUGCCAACACCUCAGCUUUUUUCCUCCCCCUACAACGUGUCAACAACUGAGUAAUUAUUUAAUAAACCUCAGAACAUACCUCUGCUUCUUCUCUUGGCCGGAGAGACCCGGGAUUUUCCCAGUUUCGGUUUCAAGGUGGCUCUGACUUCAGGGUUCCAAGUGCAGUCAAGCGGAAGAAUAAAUGCACCCACCAGAGCCUUUUGAGGGAACUUUCAAACAAAACUAUGGCUUUUCAAGUAUUAAGAGGGAAUGACAGACUGAACUAAGCUCAGUAUUCCUUUCAAUACGCGUGUUAAAGGUUAUGUUAGCAGCUGUCGAAUCGCUGGCCAACUCUAACUACAUCACUCUUCACCCUAAAUCAGAUGGUUUGGGUGGUACCCGGAACUUGCCUCUCUGGGCUGACUCUGAGCAAUAGGAUUAUUCAAGAAGGUGAUUUUUGGUUUUCCAGGCAUUCCCAUCACUUGUGCCAUUAUUAGCCUGAUGAACAAGAGAACCCAGGACCCCAAGUCCUGAGACCCUCCUGCUGCUGCUGGUGGCUCAGAGAACUCUACCCCCUCCAUCUGCAUCUCCUGCUAGAGGUUGGACGCCAAGGCCAUCUGUCUGACAAGUGUGACCGCUGAGGACCUGGGGGUAGCCUAAGUGGUGUCUCCUCUGUGUCCCACCAUGACUGACUCCUUGGCAAGUAGAGAGCAGAUGUUUCUGACCCCAAGUCCAUCUUACUGCACCAGCCAGAAGCAAAUGAGAGUAAGAGUUCAGGAAUCUUUGGCCAUAUUGGGGUUCUUCAGGAGUCAUGCAUGGCUGUGGGAAAGCUCAUCUCAAACUCCUACCAAAGGUUGGCGUGGCACAUAAACCCUUCUGCUUCUACUUCUGAUUCCUACUACCUACCCGCUGGCCUCCAAGUCUGAAUGCACAAAGCUCAACCAGGAUUCACUCUUGAAGCAACAAAACAGACAUUUUCCUAAACUCACCAGUUUAGGGACUUCAUUCCUCAGGGCCUUAUAUGAUCCUACAAGAGCUGGUAAGUUAAUUCAUACUCAUGUGGUAAUGGUUGAUAAUCACACAGUCCUAGAGGAAAGGUUGACUGUAAAAGUCACAGCCUUGGGUUUGGUUCAACACCUAUCAUUUGGUACCUAACCUGGUGACAACCCAAUUGCACCUUAAUUUCCCCAGUAGUAAAAUGUGACCAAUUAUAAGGAAAUUACCUUCUCAUAGUCUUUGAUAUGGUUGGAUGCUCAAUCAGUGUUAACAGGAGUUCCCGUCAUGUCUCAGUGGUUAACGAAUCUUAUUAGGAACCAUGAGGUUUAGGGUUCAAUCCCUGGCCUCGCUCAGUGGGUUAAGGAUCAGGUGUUGCCAUGAGCUGUGGUGUAGGUCGCAGACUCGGCUCGGAUCCCGAGUUGCUGUGGCUCUGGCGUAGGCCGGUGGCUACAGCUCCGAUUCAACCCCCUAGCCUGGGAACCUCAUUAUGCCGAGGGAGCAGCCCUAAAAAAGGCAAAAAGACAAAAAAAAAAAAAAAUCAGUGUUAAUGCAAGCAGGUAAAGAAGUGUUCAUGGUUUAACAAAACUGAAUAUGUGGUUUUGAAAAAAAAAAAUGUGUGUUGCCUCACCAUAGGUAAUCCCCAUUUUGUCUUAUUGAAAAUGACAAAAGGAUUUUUGUGGACAGUGAAAUUAUUCUAUAUGAUACUACAAGAGUGGAUAUGUGCCAUUAUACAUUUGUCAAAACUCAUGGAGGAGUUCUUCUAUGGCCCAGUGAGUUAAGAAUCUGGCAUUGCCACUGCAGUGGUUUGGGUUGCUGCUGUGACACAGGUUCGAUCCCUGGCUGGGGAACUUCUACAUGCUGUGAGUGUGGCCAAAAAACCCCCCAAAAAUCAAGCAAACGAAAAAAACACUCAUGGAAUGUGCACCAUACCAAGAGUGAACCCUAAGGUAUACUAUGGACUGUGGGUGAUGAUGGUGUAGCAAUGGAGGUUAAAAUCCAUGUUCCACUCUGGUGGGGGAUGGGCAGAUAGGGAGGCUGUGCCUGUGGGCCAUAGUGGGUAUACUGGAACUCUGCAUUGUGCUCAGUUUUGCUGUGAACCAAAAGUACUCUAAAAAGUACAGCUUAGGAGUUCCCGUCAUGGCUUAGUGGUUAGCAAAUCUUAUUAGCAUGCAUGAGGAAGUGGGUUCGAUCCCUGGCCUUGCCCAGUGGGUUAAGGAUCCGGCAUUGCCGUGAGCUGUGGUGUGGGCCGCAGACGCGGCUCGGAUCCCGCGUUGCUGUGGCUGUGGGCUAGGCCGGCGGCUACAGCUCUGAUUGGACCCCUAGCCUGGGAAUCUCCAUAUGCCACGGGUGUGGCCCUGGGAAGACAAAAAAAAGGUACAGCUUAAUUUUGAAAAAUGGCAUAAAAGGUACAUUUAGGCAAAAUUAAAGCCUAUUAUUUUUAGGUAAGUUUUUUUUUUAAGUUUCGUAUAGCUUAAGAAUCUGUCUCUCUCUCUCUGGCCCCUGCAUCACUGGUAUCCCCACUCAUUGGGUCAUUAACCACUGACCACCAAGCUACAAGGCCAGAAAAGACUAAAAGGCCCGUGGAUUCCCCCGGGUUCUGUGAUGGGUUAAUUUACCAGAAAGAGGAAAGGGAAUAUUGUGGUUGAUGAUCGAUGUCUGUAAAAGCAAAAUGUUCUCAGAAGAUAAGGAAGUGUGAGUGAAGUGGCAGCCCUUCAAAGAGAUAUCAAAAGAGAAAGUGGUCAGAAAAGGGAUGAGAUCAGAAGAGGCGGACACAGAGGCAGGACCGCAGUGAAGAACCCAAGGGAGACAGAGACGCUCUUGACCGUGAAAGGGGGAGAGUGGGUGCUAGAGGGGAGGAGGUAGAAGACAGUGGGGUUCCGCCGUCUGCGGAGAGGGGAGCAAACAGCCUCGCCCUCCCUGCCCCAGGGGGCAGCGUGGAGGGGUUUGUACAACAGCAGUGACAGUCGGCUGACCUCAGUUCCACACCUGUACUGCAGAAUCCACACGAUGAACCAAUGAGUUGCCCAGGAAAGGUGAACUUACCAUAGCAUUCUCAAUUUAGACGGAAGUGUGAAAUAGCUGGAAAGGUUUUCCAACAAAAAAUUCUCAAGUAAAAAGUUUCCAAAGGCAAGAUGAUAGUAUUUGUCAAAUCACACACACAGUCUCCGUUUCUCCCAGCAUUCCCACUGAGGGGAGUUCUCCCACAGAUUUCCUUGCACCUGUGAGAAAUGCUGGAUUACAAGGUCCUGCACUUGUAAUUGCAAAGUUUGGAAAGCACGACUGGUCAUCAAAUGGGGACUUGUUAAAGAAUGGCACAGCCAUACAAUGGAAUUCUGUACAGGGGUAAAACAACUAAAAACGGAAGCAGCUCUCUCUACUGAUAUGGAAACAUCUCCGAGAUACAUUGCUUAGUCAAAAAAAGGCAGGCUCAAAACUGUUGGCAAGGUAUGCUACAUUUGGAGUACAAGUUAAAGGGGAAAUAUUUUAAAAUGUAUGUUUCUGCUUAUAUUUUCACUGAAAGGAGCCAUCUGUCAGAAGAGAGGUGAAAUGAGUACAUGUUGCUUGAGGAAAGUACAAAGGUUUUCACUGAGUACCUUUUCAUAUUGUUUUGAUUUUUGCAUCACAUCAAUAUAUUACUGAUUCAAAAUUUUUAAAAUAAGAAAACAUGGUUCAGAGAGUAACAGCUGUGAGUGGGAACAGGUGACUCCCCACUUAUCUAGAAAUUAUCUUUCCACCCCAACACAGAGUCCAGAUAACAGUAGUUUACUGUAUUGGCAUAUUAGGAAAACGCUUGGGUAUCUGCAUAAGUCAGGGCUCUUACAGGAGUAAGCACGAGAAAUCCAGCUCAAGUUUCCCUAAAUUAAAAAGAAACUCACGUAACUGAAGGGUCCAGAGGUGAAGCCAGCUGUGGGAAUGGAAGACUCUGCUCAUCGCUGAGGGAUUGCCUAGGCCAAAGGGUUACCAGGCAUCAUCUCAUAGCACCCUGGCCCAUACCAUAGUGGAGAUGGCUGGGAGCCCCUUCGACAUUUUGCAAGCAUCGGUUUUGGAGGUCACUGCCACCCCCAAUGUGUUUGGCAUCCU